UUGCUCUCGGCCGCCUCGCCCACCUCGGGGUCCUCCCAGCGCCCCAGCUCUCCGUGGGACAGCCGACUGAGGGAGGCAGGGAGGGGGGGAAAGACGCCUCCCCCCGAUCGCGGGCACAGAGAGAGCCAAACAAGACAGGUCCGGGUGGGAAAUUUACAGUCCUCCCCGAGGAAGGCGCGAGACUGUUGAUGCUCACCGCCGCAGCACUCCACAGAAUCUCCACAUUCUUCCUCCGCUUCGCAACUACAUUCUGGCCCAGGGUUUCAAGUAAUUCCUUGACGUCGGUCUGGGUUUGGAAAUGCGGUAGACCUGUUUUACACAGCAGGGGAGCGAGAAAAAAAAGGUGAGAGUGAGAUUUUCAUCUGUGGUCUAUCUGACCACACCUUGGUGAUAACGGCGAGGUCAACUUACAUUCACGUGGCACCUUUUCACUCAACGUUUUGUAAUAACACUGCAGCGUUUCAAAGUUCAUCUGGUUGAUCCUCUCCUGAAGAGAAAUGUCUCCAAAUCUGAGGACAAAGUCCAUUAUAGAAAGUCUUCAGUAUAAUUGCAGGUGGUGCUGAAAAGUCAAGUCAAAGUAUCAUUAAGUAUGAAAAAAGAGGGAGCUCAACGGGAGCCUUCAACUACACAUCUUCUCCCUACAUACCACCACCGGAGAUCCAAAAUACAAUUUGUUUUUAACAUUGUUUUAUUAUAGUAUGCAACAGAAAAGAAAGUGCAUACAUUUGACAGAAUUAAGAAAAAAAUGCAAAAUUGAGAGUGGCACUGCCACCUAAUGGAGUGGAUUUGUAAUUACGAGAGAGAGAGAGAGAGAGAGAGAGAGAGAGAGAGAGAGAGAGAGAGAGAGAGGGAGAGGGAGAAAGAAAUAUUUUCUUUUCCAGUGUCACGUGCUCCGAGGGCCCCCCCACUAUUUGAGGAUUGCUCAACAUGGCUUGAAAAAAUACAAUUUGACAUUUUGGUGUACGCAUCGUAAUUAUGUUGCAUUGGUGUCACAAUUAUGAGGAGGUCCUUGGAAGAAAAUGUCUUCCUUGUCAGAAGGAGAAAAUCAAAAAGUAUCAGAAAUUCAAAACGUUGAAAUACGCUGACCUCUCGGCAAUGGUUUGCUGCUCGUUUAUGCCCACGUUAAAAAGCACCGGAAACACGCGCAGAGGUCGGCCCUCCUUGAUUUCCUCUGGCAUGUUCUGGAAGGCGGGGCCUGGCAGCGGGACCUCCACAGUGAAGUGGUCCCUGAGCACAACCACAAUGCCAAAGUUAAGCAUCAAUCACGACAGGGGACAAUUGUGAUUUGACAAAGACUUCAGCACAUUGAGGGAAGCAGUUUUUGAAUAAAUGUCCGCCGUAGUGAUUGAUGUGCAACUUGGACAUCAAUAUUAAUGCAUACUGCAUGCAAGGAAGCAACUUUUGACUAAACGUCCACUGUAUUGACUGAAAUGCCACGUCGGCGUCGAAACUCAUGCACUGUGAUGAAAAUAGCUUUUGAAAUUGACACCGGAGUGACGGUUGCGCCAACGUCUCACCGUCUGCCUCGCACCACAGGCUGAAGGUCACUGAGGUGGUCCGUCCUGGCCUGGGUCACCUUGAACACGACCCUCCGGAGGUCUGCCACCCCCACCUCCAUGUCCUCCAGCAUGCCGAUCUCUUCGCCUUGGGACGGUGCUGAGCAGGCUUUCAAACUGGGCCACCAGGCCGACCAGGUGGAGCUGCCUCAGGAAACCUUUGUCCUGCAUUCCUGCGUACACGCGCAUGACGAAACCACACGCCAACACUGCCAGCUGCCUGACUGAAGACGACGUCCCUCCUCUGCUGAAGUAGGAAACCCUGCGGGAUGCUGCAGGCGGCCUCCUGCAGAAGCACAAAGGUGACGGCUCUCUUGGCCUUGUCCACCACCUGUGUCACGCACUCCUUUAACCUGGCCACUAGGGGGCACAGCUGCUCCCGCCAGUCACUUGCUGCGUCAACAUUGGGAAAACAAAGAAGAACUCAAAUGACGUUGGUGUUACGUCACGUCUCACGCGCUGACCCAAUGGCAAGCAAGGCAUCGCCUCCUGUUUUCGAGGACAUCUGACGUCUCAAGGGUGACUUUUUUUUUAUACCGCAUCAUUUAACACAUUGUGAAAUUGUCUUUGUGGAAAGGACGCGGGGCGCCUGUGAAAACUUUGUAAAACCAGACAAUGAAAUGGCAUCAGCAGUCUGCACUGAUAAGCGAGGUGUCCAUUGUAUAUUCCUUAAAAUUAAUUUUUUUUUCCCUUCACAACCAAGGUUAUUAUAUAACUAAAAAAUGUUUUUUUGAGGAAAACAUUUUUGUUGUGGAAACAACAAUGAAAAUGCCUAAAAAAGUAAAUAAAACUACUGUUUCACAAU